AGGUUUGUUUGAUGGAAGUGAUUUUUCAACUGAGGUUCCUUCUUCCUAGUGUGCCAAGCUGACAAUCAAGACUUGACAUCACAGAAGUUGCGAGACCUCCUGAGUCAAUGUUGUUACCUGUGUGGAGAGAGCAGAGCCAACAACAAUGGUCACAAGUACACAGAGUGAACAGGAAGUGAGCACUGAAGAGAGGAAGUGAGAUUUCUUAGUAAGAAGGCCACUCCAACUCAGAGCUAACCAAGCUCAAGCAAGGAGUGCAGAGGAGCUCACAAAGCUCCAUCUUAUCUGAGGAACUAUUAGCAGUUGAUGGCUGCUGAGGAAGAGAGAGUCACUGCUUUUUGGGAGUGUGGCCACUGGUAGGAUGACAUCACAAUCAUAUGAGUACAUGGACAACAUUAACUGGACUCAGAGUCAUUGUCUCACUUCAGAAACAGCAGGAUGGAAGGAGAUGGGGCAGCUGAGUGAAAAUCUUCACUAAGAGAGACCUGGGCUACUCCAGCUGCACUACUGUGUUACUACAGAUCAUUGCAACCUUGAUGAACAGAACAGCGGCUCCGACCUCCGGGUCUGAAAAGUGACACACACAAAGUGAGUCCUUUAGGAAUACACUGUGUAUUCAAGCUUUGGGAUGACUGCAGUGUGGAAGGAAGGCUGUCACCUCAAUGUCCCUGCUGCCUGAGCUCAUGGGUUCUUCCUCCCCAGGACCAGACAACCCUUUGUUCAAUCUUUGGGCAGCACCUGCUGUACUCUCAGGGGGCAGUCUCACAGCACAGUGGUUGGUGACCACACUGGCUGCAUGUGUCCCCACACACAGUCAGCAUGUUCCAACAUCAUACUUCUUGUCUCUUCUCAUUCUCAUUGUCACUCCCCAUGCCACACACACUGACCAUGCUUCCCUUUUCCUUCGGAAAAGGAAUUUGCUGUGCCCAUGAGAACACUUCCAUGCCUGUUUCAGGGGCUAAUCUCUUUUGCAUGUUUCAU